UGGAACCUCGGAUCAGGUAGGAAUACCCGCUGAACUAAUGCUACGCUU
rnacentral:rRNA from 1 species